rnacentral:rRNA from 1 species
UACGGGGGGAGCAAGCGUUGUUCGGAUUUACUGGGCGUAAAGGGCGCGUAGGCGGCUUGUCAAGUCACUUGUGAAAUCUCUGGGCUUAACCCAGAACGGCCAAGUGAAACUGACAUGCUAGAGUGCAGAAGGGGCAAUCGGAAUUCUUGGUGUAGCGGUGAAAUGCGUAGAUAUCAAGAGGAACCCCUGAGGUGAAGACGGGUUGCUGGGCUGACACUGACGCUGAGGCGCGAAAGCCAGGGGAGCAAACGGG